UCAGGUGUUCCACCCACCUUAUUAGCUUCCCAAAGUUCUGGGAUUACAAGCAUGAGCCACUGCGCCCAGCUAGGAAAAUUUAAUGCAUAUGAAAGGUACACGUAUUUUUAAAAGGCUGUGUAAAGGGCUUUAUUUAAAGUGUAUACUUUGUUUAAAAUUUGCUGACGUUUUGACUUUGCUUUUUUUUUUUUUUUAAAGGUUAGCUGUUUUUAUGAAUCUUUUAAUUAAAGUGUAAAAAUAUUUGAUUAUAGAUUGUGGGUGACAUUGUAGGUGGUUGGAGUUAAUAAUCACUCAGGAAAAAAAAAAAUCACUCCUGAAACUCAGAGAGAAUGCAUGCUUUUUACCUUAGCCUAACUUUUCUAUGAUUAUCAUCCUGCUACCUGGUGAUAGCAUACCAAAAAUGAAUGGAUUAUUCUAAGAAGUUAAAAAAAAAAAA